rnacentral:rRNA from 1 species
GAUGAACGCUGGCGGCGUGCCUAAUACAUGCAAGUCGAGCGAACAGACGAGAGUGCUUGCACUCUCUGACGUUAGCGGCGGACGGGUGAGUAACACGUGGGUAACCUACCUAUCAGACUGGGAUAACUUCGGGAAACCGGAGCUAAUACCGGAUAAUAUUUAGCUUCGCAUGAAGCAAUAGUGAAAGACGGUUCUGCUGUCACUUAUAGAUGGACCCGCGGUGUAUUAGCUAGUUGGUGAGGUAACGGCUCACCAAGGCAACGAUACAUAGCCGACCUGAGAGGGUGAUCGGCCACACUGGGACUGAGACACGGCCCAGACUCCUACGGGAGGCAGCAGUAGGGAAUCUUCCGCAAUGGACGAAAGUCUGACGGAGCAAUGCCGCGUGAGUGAAGAAGGUGUUCGGAUCGUAAAACUCUGUUGUAAGGGAAGAACAAGUACGUUAGUAACUGAACGUACCUUGACGGUACCUUACCAGAAAGCCACGGCUAACUACGUG